AUACGGAGGGUCCAAGCGUUAUCCGGAUUCAUUGGGUUUAAAGGGUCCGCAGGCGGGAAAAUAAGUCAGUGGUGAAAGCCUACAGCUCAACUGUAGAACUGCCAUUGAUACUGUUUUUCUUGAGUAUAGAUGAAGUGGGCGGAAUAUAUCAUGUAGCGGUGAAAUGCAUAGAUAUGAUAUAGAACACCGAUUGCGAAGGCAGCUCACUAAACUAUUACUGACGCUCAGGGACGAAAGCGAGGGGAGCGAACAGGAUUAGAUACCCGAGUAGUCC
rnacentral:rRNA from 1 species